CUGUUCAACCUCUCUGAGCGGAGACCUGACAUCACGAAGCUCCAUGCCAAGGUACUGGAAUUUGGCUGGCCUGACCUCCACACCCCAGCCCUGGAGAAGAUCUGCAGCAUCUGUAAGGCCAUGGACACAUGGCUCAAUGCAGACCCUCACAAUGUCGUUGUUCUACACAACAAGGGAAACCGAGGCAGGAUAGGAGUUGUCAUCGCGGCUUACAUGCACUACAGCAACAUUUCUGCCAGUGCGGACCAGGCUCUGGACCGGUUUGCAAUGAAGCGGUUCUAUGAGGAUAAGAUUGUGCCCAUUGGCCAGCCAUCCCAAAGAAGGUGGGUCUCGGGCUCACAGCCCCUUGCAUGUAUGUGUGCACUCACUCUAUGUGGGGACUAGACUUGUGUACUCACAGGGAUGGGAUAGCUGUGCCUAGGUGGGGGUGUACCAGGCGCAGGUUUUCAGAUGCCAGCCUGCAGUGGUGUGAGCUCAGGCACACCACUCAGGAGAGCCUGGGAGCCAGCCUGUGGUGUGUGCCCACAGAUUGGCACAGCACUUGACUCUGAGGCCUGUGCUAGAGAGCAGUGCAACCUUCAUGGGGAAGCAUGAGUCUGGGGAUAAGAAGGCACUCGUAUAGGAAGGCGUGUGCUGUUCUUGGCCCUGGAGGCAGGAUUGCUUCAGUGCUUGAAUGAGUCUACGGGAGGCUGCAUCACUGCCCCCUGAUGUGGGAGGUCAGAGACUCAUGAUAAGGGUCACCUUCUGUUGGGAGAGUUUAGACAGUUUUACUGAGGGCUUUCAACCACAUGGUCUCAUUGGAGUCUCACAAUAGCCCAGGCAGGAAACAGGGCAGGGAUGGAUUUAUUCAUUCAGCAAAAUUUAAAUCAUCUACUAUGGCUCCAAGCACUGAGAUAUCUAGGUGAAUAGGAAACAGUCCUUUCCCUUGGUGAGCUGAUACCUAAUGAGAGAGAUGGACAU
rnacentral:sRNA from 1 species